GACAGAGGGUGCAAACGUUGUUCGGAAUUACUGGGCGUAAAGCGCGUGUAGGCGGCCUCGCAAGUCGGGUGUGAAAGCCCUGGGCUCAACCCAGGAAGUGCACUCGAUACUGCAAGGCUUGAGUUCCGGAGAGGAAAGCGGAAUUCUCGGUGUAGAGGUGAAAUUCGUAGAUAUCGAGAGGAACACCGGUGGCGAAGGCGGCUUUCUGGACGGCGACUGACGCUGAGACGCGAAAGCGUGGGGAGCAAACAGGG
rnacentral:rRNA from 1 species